CAUCCAAAGCAGAACAAAGGAUCACAGAAAGGUGUGGAUGUUAGCCAGUCACCAGAUGUGGAUCAGCAUAGAAACAUGGAUUUGCCGUGCUUCCAACAUCCUCAAAGGCAUCUAAUUGUUCAGGACAUACCGAGUAUCUGCACUUACAGAAAUCAAGCCUUGAGUGGAACUCCCCUGAAAGCAAGGCACUGGGAAGCUGAGAUUAGUUUUCAGAAAGAUGGGAUGGCUGGAGGCAGGUGAGGUGUGUGGGACAGGCAGCAGCAGCAGCACCCAGCCCUGCUGGCCGAGAUACAGCACAGCUGCACCCCUGGUCCCCCCAGACCCAAGCUUUGCACCCUGAAAAAUCUCAGAGCAGUUUCUGCUUAUUGAAGAACAGAACGCCUCAGAGCACUCUUGGGAGGUACUAUAGAAAAGUGAGGAAGCAAAUAUAAAUCCACAUUAUGCUCCAUCCUGUCAUUACCUGGAACUUCCCAGCCAUCUUAGGGAUAUGCAGACAAGAAAGAAAGAAAAAAAAAAAAAGCAAGGGCUUCCCUGCGUGGAUCUCUUCAGUUCAUGGUACCUCUUAAAGAGAAGUUUUCCUCCUUGGAAGCCAAAUGCAGUGCUCCCUGCUGUGAUGGAUUCCUUCUUGUUCCUUCCUAAUUGGAGCGAUUUCAUCAGAUCGAAUUUUGACAAAGAUAGUAAUUGUCAUCCAAUUUUAAGGCAAUGACAAGAUCAAUAUGAAUUCUCAGAUGACAAGUAUUAUUACUGGGUGAGCACAAAGAAACAAAGAAAAUGAAAAAUCCAUGUUCUAGGGAUCAAAACAGUUAGAGGCACAUGCUUGCCUUGAUCCACGUGUGCGUGAAUCCUGUUGACAACAAUAGAUGCUGUGCAUGUGGAUGGAUGGGGUAGAACAGAUGGCUUUUGCCAGUCAAAUAGCAAAGGAAAACGAGCACCCAGUGCUUUAGUACAUUGCAGUUUCAGUAAUGUGGGAGUCAAUUAACUUACCACCAACAGGCUUGCAGGGAAAAUUACCUACAGCCCCAUCUCAGACAAUUUUGCUGCUUCUUAACAUGUUCUACUCCUUCUGUUUCCUGAAUGUCAGGAGUAAAUACCUAAGCAAAUCCCAGUUCUUUAAGGUAAAUAUAUUCAACCCACAUGUAUGGAGGCAGAAGCACUUGAUUAUUUUUAUAACGUUGUUUAAAUGAGAUGAUCUGACUAGUUAAUGGCGCAAAGAGUUCAGAUAGGGUUCAAAUUAGGAUCUAAAAUGUGUUGCAGCAUCUUUAGACAUUUUCCUCACAGUUGUGGUUUUGGGAUGGAUUCUGCCACGUAUGUUUAACUGUUGCCAGAUACUGUCAUUUUGGUUUAGUAGGUUUACCCUGGAACAAGACACUUCUUCCAGACAUUUGACCCUCAGAGCUCAGCUCUUGCUCUACAUUUGCUGCUCAAUGUGCAUUCAAGUUACAUCUGUAGGGGUGCUCUGCACACAUUCAUCUUGCUGUUAAACCAGACCUCUUGCUUUCCCACCCACAAAAUGCUAAAUCCAAGG